CUCUUAUGAAGAGAGGCGGAGGGACUGGCCCCAUGAAGCCUCGGCAACCGGAUCCACGGUGCCAAAUCCAGCAGACAAUGCGUCUGAACGAUAAGAG
rnacentral:ncRNA from 3 species